rnacentral:rRNA from 2 species
CUCGAAAGAGUGAACUAGCUAACUGGAAUCACUAGUAUCUCACUAGAGAAAUAGUAAUGGGAAAACACUGAUAUUACCUUACUAAAGUGCCGUCCAAAUCUGGUGCCAGCAGACGCGGUAAGACCAGAGGCGCAAACGUUAAUCUUCAUAAACAGGCGUAAAGGGUUUGUAGGCGGCUUGUAUUUUUACAGGCUAGAAUCAAAUAGAGGUAACUUAAAGAAUAAUUAGAGUAGGGAUUAAAUCCAAAGAUCCUAAGGAGAAUACUAAAGGCGAAAGCAUUAUACCAAUACUGAUUGACGCUGAGAAACGAAAGUGAGGGUAGGGAACAGGAUUAGAGACCCUGAAACUCCUCACUGUCAACGAUGAAUGGUAGCUCCUAGUUUUUAAAGCCAGAGGCGCAGUAAACACGAUAACCAUUCCGCCUUGUUAGUAAAACUGCAAAGUUGAAAACAAAAAAAUUUGCCGGAUUUGGAGCAAACGAAGUGAAGCAU